CUUGCAUCCUUCCAUGAAUUUUUAUUCUUGCUGGUUCCAUUUUACUCAAGCAUGCAAGAGAAAUGCAAGAAAAACAUAUGGUCUAGAAAAAAUGCUUAAAUGCAAUAAACCGGCUUAUCUUCUAUUUAUGAAAUUCUUGUACUUGCCGCUAUUACCGGAUACCAAAAUUGUCGAAGCAUUUAAUCUUCUCGAAAUACAAGCAGCUGCUCUAAGCAAGGAGAACUUUUCGCCCUUUUUAAAAUAUUAUAAAAAACAGUGGCUUAUAAAGGAAGGACCUAAAAAUAUUUCAGUUUUUAAACGUUCGACGCGGACCACAGGCUCUGUUGAAGCAUACAAUUUGAAUUUGGGCAACAAAAUACGAGCAAAAGGGCACUUUUUUAAAUUUGUUGAAUGCAUCAUAGACGCCGAAUAUGAAAAAAGUCGGGAGUUCGCUCUGCUUUUUCAAAACGGUGGUAUAGGCAAUCAGACGCAACCAAAGCAGCUUCGAGACCGUGCUCAAAAAAUUAUGAACUGUAUGGAGAUGUUCGAGAAAGGCGAAAUCGAUAUUCAGGUGUUCUUGGCACGGACUGUCGGUCUAAAUGAAACAUUUUCAAAACAAGAUCUUUUUUCUGGAAUGUGUUCCGA